GGGUAUUGCUGCAGUAUUAUCUUAUAUACCUUUGUUGUUGUAUGAAUCCGUAUUUUUAUGUGAAACCGUAUGAUACACAUGUUCUACAAUUUAAAAAAAAAACACAGGUGUACAGGAAUAACGCUGUUAAGUUCAAUUUGCAUGGCAGACUAUAUUGAUGACUACUCGUUAUAAUAUACAGAAAACGAAGAUUUUUUCCAACAUCAAAAACACCAGUGGUAAAUUAUCAUGCAGUAGACAAUCAUUAAGGACGUAAAAAAUGGACAUAAUAUACAGUGAUCGAAGGCAGCGAGGGUGGUAAACGAGCGAUGC